rnacentral:rRNA from 1 species
AAAGCCUCUAAGCAUCAGGUAACAUCAAAUCGUACCCCAAACCGACACAGGUGGUCAGGUAGAGAAUACCAAGGCGCUUGAGAGAACUCGGGUGAAGGAACUAGGCAAAAUGGUGCCGUAACUUCGGGAGAAGGCACGCUGAUAUGUAGGUGAAGCGACUUGCUCGUGGAGCUGAAAUCAGUCGAAGAUACCAGCUGGCUGCAACUGUUUAUUAAAAACACAGCACUGUGCAAACACGAAAGUGGACGUAUACGGUGUGACGCCUGCCCGGUGCCGGAAGGUUAAU